UACGUAGGGGGCAAGCGUUGUCCGGAUUUAUUGGGCGUAAAGAGCGUGUAGGCGGCUUUACAGGUCCGUUGUGAAAACUCGAGGCUCAACCUCGAGACGCCGGUGGAAACCGUAAAGCUAGAGUCCGGAAGAGGAGAGUGGAAUUCCUGGUGUAGCGGUGAAAUGCGCAGAUAUCAGGAAGAACACCCGUGGCGAAGGCGGCUCUCUGGGACGGUACUGACGCUCAGACGCGAAAGCGUGGGGAGCGAACAGG
rnacentral:rRNA from 1 species